rnacentral:rRNA from 1 species
AUUGAACGCUGGCGGCAUGCCUUACACAUGCAAGUCGAACGGCAGCAUGGAGAGCUUGCUCUCUGAUGGCGAGUGGCGAACGGGUGAGUAAUGCAUCGGAACGUACCGUGUAAUGGGGGAUAACGUAGCGAAAGUUACGCCAAUACCGCAUACGACCUGAGGGUGAAAGCAGGGGAUCGCAAGACCUUGCGUUAUACGAGCGGCCGAUGUCAGAUUAGCUAGUUGGUGAGGUAAAGGCUCACCAAGGCGACGAUCUGUAGCGGGUCUGAGAGGAUGACCCGCCACACUGGGACUGAGACACGGCCCAGACUCCUACGGGAGGCAGCAGUGGGGAAUUUUGGACAAUGGGGGCAACCCUGAUCCAGCCAUGCCGCGUGAGUGAAGAAGGCCUUCGGGUUGUAAAGCUCUUUCGGCCGGGAAGAAAUCGCACAGGCUAAUACUCUGUGUGGAUGACGGUACCGGCAUAAGAAGCACCGGCUAACUACGUGCCAGCCGCCGCGGUAA